rnacentral:misc_RNA from 1 species
AUAGAGAUGCUGACUCUUACAGGUAGCAUCUUCUCUAUCUUUUAUUGAAGGUUGUAGUUGUAGGCUUGUAGCAUGAUAGAUUAAAUAUCUAAUAUGCCUAGAAGAUGAUCUAAUUGUGUAGAUCUGUUGUCAUUGAAGAGCUGAUAUGGGCUGAAUUCGUAAAUAUGGAUAUAAAAUUUAUUAAAAUGGGCUGCUUUAGGAACGUUUCCUGAGACAAAAAUCAUAGGAAGGCAUUUUCUGGAUUGUCAUUGAAAAUAAAUACAUAUUUUCAUUAAAAUCCAUAACAAUGUACUUGAUCAUAUCAUUCAUGUGCUAUAUUUAUUCACUUCUGUUUUCUUUCAUUCUAUACUUGUAUUAUAUUUUCUAAGGUCAGAGUUGCAUGAGUUAUGUUAUCCCCGUUGUGCAUGGCUGUGAUUUCAGUUUUCUUAGGGUGUUGAUUUUUUGUGUGCUUGCACACAUGCAUGUGUUUGUAUGUGUGUUUCUCCAAUGGAAAUUGGCCUUCAGUUGUGACCAAUUUUACUUUCUUCUUGUAGGUCACCUUGGUCAAAUAAAUAU